ACGCAGCGAAAUGCGAUAACUAGUGUGAAUUGCAGAAUUUCCGUGAAUCAUCGAGUCUUUGAACGCACAUUGCGCCCCCUGGUAUUCCGGGGGGCAUGCCUGUCCGAGCGUCAUU
rnacentral:rRNA from 1 species